rnacentral:rRNA from 1 species
UUGGAAAGACCCACCACAGAAGGUAAUAGUCCUGUAUGUUAAACGAGAAGACUUUAGAUAUGAUCCAGAGUACCACGGGACACGUGAAACCCUGUGGGAAGCAGGAGGGACCACCCUCCAAGGCUAAAUACUACCUAGUGACCGAUAGCGUAUAGUACCGUGAGGGAAAGGUGAAAAGAACCCCGGGAGGGGAGUGAAAUAGAACCUGAAACCCUGCACUUACAAGCUGUGGAAGCACAUUUCUUGUGUGACCGCGUACUUUUUGUAGAACGGGCCAACGAGUUACGUUAAGUAGCAAGGUUAAGCACUUAAGGUGCGGAGCCGUAGCGAAAGCGAGUUUUAACUGAGCGUUCAGUUACUUGACGUAGACCCGAAACCGGGCGACCUACCCAUGAGCAGGAUGAAGCGAAAGUAAAAUUUCGUGGAGGUCCGAACCCACGAGCGUUGAAAAGCUCGGGGAUGACUUGUGGGUAGCGGUGAAAUUCCAAUCGAGCCCGGAGAUAGCUGGUUCUCCCCGAAAUAGCUUUAGGGCUAGCCUCAAGGUGAGAGAUACGGAGGUAGAGCACUGAAUGUCCUAGGGGGUAUUGCACCUACCGAAGACUAUCAAACUCCGAAUGCCGUCAUCUUAUACUUGGGAGUCAGACUGUGGGUGAUAAGAUUCAUAGUCGAAAGGGCAACAGCCCAGAUCGUCAGCUAAGGUCCCUAAAUGUAAGUUAAGUGGUAAAGGAUGUGGGAUUGCACAGACAACCAGGAUGUUGGCUUAGAAGCAGCCACUCAUUCAAAGAGUGCGUAAUAGCUCACUGGUCGAGUGAUCCUGCGCCGAAGAUUUCCGGGGCUAAAACUUACUACCGAAGCUACGGCAUCAGUAAUGAUGGGUAGGGGAGCUUCCCAUACGGGUUGAAGCAUGACCGUAAGGACAUGUGGACAGUAUGGGAGUGAGAAUGUUGGCAUGAGUAGCGAGAUGUGGGUGAGAAUCCCACAGGCCGUAAACCCAAGGUUUCCAGGGGAAGGUUCGUCCGCCCUGGGUUAGUCGGGACCUAAGCUGAGGCCGAAAGGCGUAGGUGAUGGACAACAGGUUGAU